rnacentral:rRNA from 1 species
AGAAUCAACGCUGGCGGCGUGCCUCAGACAUGCAAGUCGAACGCGAAAGUCCCCUUCGGGGGACAAGUAGAGUGGCGCACGGGUGAGUAACACGUAGGUAAUCUACCUUCGGAUGGGGAAUAACAACCGGAAACGGUUGCUAAUACCGCAUAAUGCAGCGGCACCUAAUGGUGACAGUUGUUAAAGCGGGGGAUCGAAAGACCUCGCGUCUGAAGAGGAGCCUGCGGCGGAUUAGCUAGUUGGUAGGUAACGGCUACCAAGGCGACGAUCC